rfam:Cavia porcellus supercont2_369 genomic scaffold, whole genome shotgun sequence.
UGAUGCCCCUCACCCACCCCUGAGGAUCCCAGGUGGGCGAGGGAAUGGUCAGCGGGAUC